rnacentral:rRNA from 1 species
AUGCACCGAGGAGAGGAUAGUUUAUCCGGUCUUUAUAAAUGCACUCUAGCAUUUGUUGCUUGUGGAUGUGGGUGGAGCUGUGGUGUUGUGCUGCUAGCUAGUCUGCUACUGCUAGUGGCUAGCUACCUCUCGGCCACGGCCAUGGCGGGCGGCAAGAAGCUGCAGGAGAGGGUCGCCCUGGGCAGGAGCGCGUGGAUGCUGGCCGACUUCGUGAUCCUCUUCCUCGUCCUCGCCCUCGUGGCCCGCCGCGCCGCGUCGCUCGGGGAGCGCGGCGGGACGUGGCUGGCAGCGCUCGUCUGCGAGGCGUGGUUCGCCUUCGUGUGGAUCCUCAACAUGAACGGCAAGUGGAGCCCCGUCCGGUUCGACACCUACCCCGAGAACCUCUCCCACAGGAUGGAAGAGCUCCCGGCGGUGGACAUGUUCGUCACGACGGCGGACCCGGCGCUGGAGCCGCCGUUGAUCACGGUGAACACGGUGCUCUCGCUGCUCGCCCUGGACUACCCGCACGUCGGCAAGCUGGCGUGCUACGUCUCCGACGACGGCUGCUCCCCCUUGACGUGCUACUCUCUGCGCGAGGCCGCCAAGUUCGCCAGCCUCUGGGUUCCCUUCUGCAAGAGGCACGACGUUGGUGUGAGGGCCCCUUUCAUGUACUUCUCUUCCGCGCCGGAGGUUGACACCGGUACAGUCGACCACGAGUUCCUGGAAAGCUGGGCACUCAUGAAGAGCGAAUAUGAGAAGCUGGCCAGCCGGAUCGAGAACGCCGACGAGGUCUCCAUUCUGCGUGACGGCGGCGACGAGUUCGCCGAGUUCAUCGACGCCGAGCGCGGGAACCAUCCUACCAUCGUUAAGGUUCUCUGGGAUAACAGCAAGAACAAAACAGGUGAAGGAUUCCCACAUCUGGUGUACCUCUCGAGAGAGAAAAGCCCCAGACAUCGUCACAACUUUAAGGCCGGUGCCAUGAAUGUUCUGACAAGGGUGUCGGCCGUGAUGACCAACGCUCCGAUCAUGCUGAAUGUGGACUGCGACAUGUUUGCCAACAACCCGCAGGUCGCCCUACACGCGAUGUGCCUCCUGUUGGGGUUCGACGACGAGAUCCACAGCGGGUUCGUCCAGGCGCCACAGAAGUUCUACGGUGGCCUCAAGGAUGACCCCUUUGGCAACCAGAUGCAGGUUAUAACCAAGAAAAUUGGAGGUGGGCUCGCCGGGAUCCAAGGCACGUUCUACGGCGGCACGGGCUGUUUUCACCGCAGGAAGGUCAUUUACGGCAUGCCGCCUCCGGACACCGUCAAGCACGAGACAAGAGGUUCACCAUCUUACAAGGAGCUGCAAGCCAAGUUUGGGAGCUCAAAGGAGUUGAUCGAAUCAUCUAGGAACAUCAUCUCAGGAGACCUGCUCGCUAGACCAACCGUAGAUAUAUCAAGUCGGGUCGAAAUGGCAAAACAAGUAGGCGACUGCAACUAUGAGGCUGGCACAUGUUGGGGCCAAGAGAUUGGGUGGGUCUAUGGAUCAAUGACAGAGGACAUUUUGACCGGGCAACGGAUCCAAGCGGCGGGUUGGGAAUCGGCCUUGUUGGACACCGACCCACCGGCAUUCUUGGGAUGUGCUCCGACAGGGGGGCCGGCUAGCUUGACCCAGUUCAAGAGAUGGGCAACAGGGCUUCUGGAGAUACUCAUCAGCCGGAACAGCCCCAUCCUCGGCACCAUCUUCAGGCGCCUCCAACUCCGGCAAUGCCUUGCCUAUCUCAUCGUCAACGCGUGGCCCAUGAGGGCACCUUUCGAGAUGUGUUACGCGCUAUUGGGACCUUUCUGCCUUCUCACAAACCAGUCCUUCUUGCCAACGACAUCUAAUGAAGGUUUUCGCAUCCCAGCGGCUCUAUUCUUGAGUUACCACGUAUACCACCUGAUGGAGUACAAGGAGUGCGGGCUCUCGGUCCGCGCCUGGUGGAACAACCACAGGAUGCAACGCAUCACCUCGGCCUCCGCCUGGCUCCUCGCCUUCCUCACCGUCAUCCUCAAGACGCUAGGGCUCUCCGAGACCGUGUUCGAGGUCACCCGCAAGGAGAGCAGCACGUCCUCCGAUGGUGGCACGGGCACCGACGAGGCCGAUACUGGGCUGUUCACCUUCGACUCGGCGCCCGUUUUCAUCCCGGUGACGGCGCUCUCAAUGCUGAACAUUGUCGCCCUCGCCGUCGCGGCAUGGCGCGCCGUUGUCGGGACGGCGGCGGGCGUUCAUGGUGGCCCGGGAGUCGGAGAGUUCGUGUGCUGUGGCUGGAUGGUGCUGUGCUUCUGGCCGUUCAUGAGAGGGCUUGUCAGCAGUGGAAAGUAUGGGAUCCCGUGGAGUGUCAGGGUGAAGGCUGGGUUGAUUGUGGCUGCGUUCGUGCACCUCUGCACAAGGAACUAA